rnacentral:misc_RNA from 1 species
CCGAGUACUACACUCAUAACCCUUUGUGAACCUUUAUAACCUGUUGCUUCGGCGGCGCGGCCCUCGGGUCGUGCCCGCCGGUAUCAUCAGAAUCUCUGUUCGAACCCGACGAUACUUCUGAGUGUUCUAAGCGAACUGUUA